GGCGACGAUCAGUAGCCGACCUGAGAGGGUGAUCGGCCACAUUGGAACUGAGACACGGUCCAAACUCCUACGGGAGGCAGCAGUGGGGAAUAUUGCACAAUGGGCGAAAGCCUGAUGCAGCAACGCCGCGUGAGUGAUGAAGGCCUUCGGGUCGUAAAACUCUGUCCUCAAGGAAGAUAAUGACGGUACUUGAGGAGGAAGCCCCGGCUAACUACGUGCCAGCAGCCGCGGUAAUACGUAGGGGGCUAGCGUUAUCCGGAUUUACUGGGCGUAAAGGGUGCGUAGGCGGUCUUUCAAGUCAGGAGUGAAAGGCUACGGCUCAACCGUAGUAAGCUCUUGAAACUUGGAGACUUGAGUGCAGGAGAGGAGAAUGGAAUUCCUAGUGUAGCGGUGAAAUGCGUAGAUAUUAGGAGGAACACCAGUUGCGAAGGCGGCUCUCUGGACUGUAACUGACGCUGAGGCACGAAAGCGUGGGGAGCAAACAGGAUUAGAUACCCUGGUAGUCCACGCUGUAAACGAUGAGUACUAGGUGUCGGGGGUUACCCCCUUCG
rnacentral:rRNA from 1 species